ACUGUUAGCAGGUAGGAUUGAGGAGUUUAGAAGAGCUGGUCACUAUGCCGACUGGGUUUCUGCAUUACGUUUGGCAUCAAAACGGUGACCUCCUGGGAGUAGAGGGGCCACCAGGAUGCCUAAGGAUGGGUGAACUGGCCCAAGUCAGAAAUGAAGUAGGUCAGAACUCCCCUGCUGGGAGGUAGUGGAACUGAGCCUGGGCAACAUAGCGAGACUUUGGUUCUCAAAAAAAAAU
rnacentral:sRNA from 1 species